UCCUGGGCACUGGGUCUACUACCGGAUAUGACCUUGGAGUGCAUGAGGUGGUGGAAAGCUUUUGUGGUUCAGGAGGGCCCGGGUAAAGCUUGUUGGUGGGGUAAUGGCCUACCAAGGCGACGACGGGUAGCCGACCUGAGAGGGUGAUCGGCCUCCACAAAAAAGUGAGACACGGCCCAGACUCCUACGGGAGGCAGCAGUGGGGAAUAUUGCACAAUGGGCGCAAGCCUGAUGCAGCGACGCCGCGUGAGGGAUGUCGCCCUUCGGGUUGUAAACCUCUUUCACCAGGGACGAAGCGCAAGUGACGGUACCUGGAGAAGAAGCACCGGCCAACUACGUGCCAGCAGCCGCGGUAAUACGUAUUUGUGCGACCCCUGUCCGGAAUUACUGGGCGUAUAUUAUCUUCGUAUGCGGUUUGUCGCGUCGUCUGUGAAAUUCUGCAACUCAUUUUGUAGGCGUGCAGGCGAUACGGGCAGACUUGAGUACUACAGGGGAGACUGGAAUYCUGGUGGUAGCGGUGAAAUGCGCAGAUAUCAGGAGGAACACCGGUGGCGAAGGCGGGUCUCUGGGUAGUAACUGACGCUGAGGAGCGAAAGCGUGGGUAGCGAACAGGAUUAGAUACCCUGGUAGUCCACGCAGUAAACGGUGGGUACUAGGUGUGGGGCUCAUUUCACGAGUUCCGUGCCGUAGCUAACGCAUUAAGUACCCCGCCUGGGGAGUACGGCCGCAAGGCUAAAACUCAAAGGAAUUGACGGGGGCCCGCACAAGCGGCGGAGCAUGUGGAUUAAUUCGAUGCAACGCGAAGAACCUUACCUGGGUUUGACAUACACCAGACGCAUGUAGAGAUACAUGUUCCCUUGUGGUUGGUGUACAGGUGGUGCAUGGCUGUCGUCAGCUCGUGUCGUGAGAUGUUGGGUUAAGUCCCGCAACGAGCGCAACCCUUGUCCUGUAUUUCCAGAAAGAUUAUGCCGGGGACUUGCAGGAGACUGCCGGGGUCAACUCGGAGGAAGGUGGGGAUGACGUCAAGUCAUCAUCCCCUUAUGUCCAGGGCUUCACACAUGCUACAAUGGCAUUCAUAGGGCUGCGAUACCGUGAGGUGGAGCGAAUCGCCUAAAGCCAGUCUACAGUCGGAUUAUUGAGUG
rnacentral:rRNA from 1 species